rnacentral:tRNA from 1 species
GUAGCGAUGGCUCAGUAGUUAGAGCGUCUGGCUUUCGGCCAGUAACUAGCAAGUUCGAACCUUUCCUAAUUAC